CGGCACGGGUGCGUAACGCGUAUGCAAUCUACCUUUUACAGAGGGAUAGCCCAGAGAAAUUUGGAUUAAUACCUCAUAGUAUGUGAGAAUCGCAUGGUUUUCACAUUAAAGUCACAACGGUAAAAGAUGAGCAUGCGUCCCAUUAGCUUGUUGGUAAGGUAACGGCUUACCAAGGCAACGAUGGGUAGGGGUCCUGAGAGGGAGAUCCCCCACACUGGUACUGAGACACGGACCAG
rnacentral:rRNA from 1 species